AGGAUGAACGCUGGCGGCGUGCCUAACACAUGCAAGUCGAACGUCCUGUCUCGCAAGAGGCAGGGAGUGGCGGACGGGUGAGUACCACGUGGGUCAUCUACCGUGAGGUGAGGAAUACCGGCGAGAAAUCGCCGACAAGACCGCAUAGGCUCGAUGCAAGUCGAGCAAAGCUCUUUCGAGAGAGGGAGCGCCACACGAGGAGCCUGCGCCCGAUUAGCUAGCUGGUGGAGUAACGGUUCACCAGGGCGACGAUCGGUAGCUGGUCUGAGAGGACGAUCAGCCACACUGGGAUUGAGAACGGCCCAGACUCCUACGGGGGGCAGCAGUGAGGAAUUUUCGUCAAUGGGGGCAACCCUGAACGAGCAACGCCGCGUGCAGGAAGAAGGUUUUCGGAUCGUAAACUGCUUUUCUCGGGGAAGAGAACGGACGGUACCCGAGGAAUCAGCCCGGCUAACUACGUGCCAGCAGCCGC
rnacentral:rRNA from 1 species